rnacentral:lncRNA from 1 species
CCGAUGGGAUAAAGAAUUCUUUAUAGUAGCCGUAGACUCUCCGUUUUAAGGUGUGUCUUUUAAGAAUCAUGGCUGAAACUUUUAUCCCCAUCAAGUUGGAAGGAACAUACGCAUCAUAAGGAACACCAGUUCUGGUUCUUUGCCAGGUCAAUUCCCUGAAAGCAUAUUGCUGAAGUAAGGAAUCAAGUGAGCUUUUCACAGUUGAUUCAGAUCCAACCAGAAAUGGAAUUAGAAACCAAAUAAUUAUGUAGAAAUAACCUGAUGAAUGCAUCAGAUUAGGAAUGGAGGAAUGUUCAAAUAAAUCUUUGACUUUCCGCUAGAUAACUAAACCAAGAUUGUGUUAGGGGUCUUCAGAGGGAGAAUUCCGUAAUCCCUUCUGCUUGCUGAAGAAGGGCUUGCGUAACGGACAGUAUUCAGGAGGGAGCUAAAGGAAAUCGAAGUUAGAAUAUGGAACACAUUUGCUGAUUUGAGCAGCAGAUCUCAAGAAAGAACAAGUGAAAAACUACUUCUGCAGAUCUCAAGAAAGAAUUAGUGAAAAACUACUUAGUCCACCCACAGCUGGACAAAAGUCAGCGUCUGGAUUAACUGUGCUAGGCUGUUUGGAUGCCUUAAUAUUAGUUAUUAUUUUGGUUCUUUAUUUUUUGUUUAAGGAAGGUCACUUCCUUUUUUCUUAAAGCAUCAAGGUUCUUUUUUAAAAAAAAACAUAGGGGUCGUUUGGUAGAGUGUAUUGGAAAGUUAAUGCAUGCAUUAGUUUAAUAUGUAUUAGUAGUACCUUGUUUGGUAUAUCUUUUUACCCAAUGUAUAACUAAUGCUUGCAUUAGUUAUAAACUCUAUUGUAUAUUGAGGUGUAUUACUAAUACCUCAAAAUCCAUGACAUUAAUAAUGCAAUGGAUCGAAUGCAUGCAUUAACAUGCUUAAAGACACUAUUAUCCCUCAAAAAAAUUUCCGCAUCCUUUUCAACAUAUAUAUUGAGGGUAUUAUGUAAAAAAAAAAGAAUUUUUUAGAAAUUAUGUAAUUCAUGCUAUUUUUAAUACAUCGAGCCAAAUACUGCAUAAGAAAAAUACAAGCAUAACUAAUGCAAGCAUAGCUAACACAAACAUUGUUAAUACAAGCAUUACUAAUACACCAUAUUUUGCAUUAUUCUUAUACACUCUACCAAAUUAAAAAGGGAAUACCAUAGCUUUGGUUUUCAGUUUCAAAUUCAUCCCGCUGACUAGGUAUUCUAAGAAUAUCCAAAAAUGAAAAAAAACUGGCCUGCUAAACAUCAACAUAUUUGCAAAACAAUGCAGCAGCAAAACACAGGCACUUUCUGUCUUUAUAUGCUACACAAUAAUUGUCCGAACAAUCAGCAAGCAAUUACCAGCUCUGAGUUCUUUGUGGUUCCAUACUUACCGAGACACCAUAAGCUGUCCAAAAGCUUGCUACCUAGUACUAGUUCCUUGCUAUGUAGUUUUAAUUUGUCCGGUAUGAAAGUUUUCAAAUAAGCAACGGAUGUAGUACUGGAAACCACACCGUUAAUCCUAUGUAACCUUAUCUGCCAGUAACUCCUCUGGAUGGACGUAGGAAUGUAACUACAAAUAACGAAAAAGACAUUAGCAUGCAUUCUAAUAUUGUAGCUAGCUAAGUCCGGAGAAUCAACUAGAAUUUUUCCCUCAAACACAAGUUUUUGCCGAUGAACUGAUAUUCUUAGCUUCUUUAGAAAUCUGUCUUCACAUUCUUGACAAACUCAUGCUUGUGCACGUCUAAUGUAAUAAUUCCACUACUCAUCUUGAUUAAGAUCUGUAUCAUUCUCCGCUUCACCUGUAAGCCGGACUCUUUCUUGAUAUCACACUGAUAUAAUGUCUUCAUAUCUUCCAAUUUAUGCUUCCUCAAGAACAGAUCCAUAGAAUCUAUCGAGCAGCCAACUCUGCUCUCUAUUUUUUUAAUGUCGCUAAUAGUUAAGGCAGCCUUGACUUCUAUUUGUACAAUUUCCUCCGUUGGCAUUACCAAGAGAAAUAAGCAACUUGUCACUAGGAUUGAAAACCAUAUGACAUGUUGAUCUAUCAUCGAGCCAAUGUAUUGCAAUCUAAAUUAACUCGCACACUCGAUCAAGCAAACAUACAGCAAAAUUGUACUUAUUAAUGCAUUCACACCCCAUUAUACAACCUAUUGCAUAUAAAAUCUAAGUUCUAUGUGUUGACAUAGUGGCGGUGUAUAAACUUUUUACACUAGCAUGUUAAACUACCGACAACAACAGAAAAUUACUUAAAUGCAAUCUAGUAACCUGGAAAAUAGAAUAAAUCUCUUGUUAUAACAGAUUAAAUUAGAUUGAUAGCGUAAAAAAUCUCACAAAUUGUACCUAAGUAUGCAAGCCACAAAAAUAUUGGUGUUGCCACUUAAAGUACAUAGUCAUUCUCCGGCAAUGGUCUAGUUGGAGCUUCCAAUGGCACCUCUGUGUUCCCUAACAAGGGCUGAACAACUGCUGCUGAAUCAUACAACCUCUGUUUUAUUUCCAGUAAUCCAGAUUUUUUUACAAUAACAAACAAUAUUCCCAAGAGAGCAAAAAAUAGAAAUACUGAUGAAAUCGUCCACAUUUUAGAGUUGAUGUUUUGAUGAUUAUUGUCAUCAGCUGUAGGAGGAGGACUUGGGGCAAUUUCAUGAGCACUAGGAGAAGGACUUGGGGCAAUUUCAUGAGCACUAGGAGAAGGGCUUGGGGCAAUUUCAUGGGCACUAGCAGAAGGACUUGGGGAAAUUUCAUGAGCACUAGGAGGAGGACUUGGAGAGGCUUUCACCUCAGCAACUAUAGAAUAAUGGCCUUGUAUUCUGGUUUCACAAAUAUUUCCAUCGGUAACAUGGCCAAAUUUGACAAAAUUAUUUGAGUAGAAAUAAGCACACUUGGGGAAAGACCCCUCUGGUGCUGGCUGAACAAAAGGAAACCUGAUGGUGAUAGGGUCUUCCAAUGCUAGUAUAUCCAAUUCUGGUAGAUUUGUGGCAUACAAAUCAUUAGCAUCAUAAGCCAAGAUUCCCAAAACUGGUGUCAGAUAAAUGUAACCAGGCAAAGGAUAAUAAAAGGAUGACCAAUUACCCAAGUUUUGGUAAACCAGAACAAGUUUCUUUACAUAAGGCUCCACUAUGAUCCCCGAUGGGAUAAAGAAUUCUUUAUAGUAGCCGUAGACUCUCCGUUUUAAGGUGUGUCUUUUAAGAAUCACGGCUGAAACUUUUAUCCCCAUCAAGUUGGAAGGAACAUACGCAUCAUAAGGAACACCAGUUCUGGUUCUUUGCCAGGUCAAUUCCCUGAAAGCAUAUUGCUGAAGUAAGGAAUCAAGUGAGCUUCUUGCAGAUGAAUCUGAACUAUUUGAUUGAGAUCCAACCAAAGCAGGAAUUAGCAACCAGAUAAUUAUGUAGAAAUAACCCGAUGAAUGCAUUG